rnacentral:rRNA from 1 species
CCGUNAUCGNAAUGAGUACACUUUAAAUCCUUUAACGAGGAUCCAUUGNAGGGCAAGUCUGGUGCCAGCAGCCGCGGUAAUUCCAGCUCCAAUAGCGUAUAUNAAAGUUGUUGCGGUUAAAAAGCUCGUAGUUGAAUUUGUGUCCCACGCUGUUGGUUCAUCGCUCGCGAUGUUUAACUGACAUGACGGUGGGACGUCCUGCCGGUGGGCUUAGCCUUUCGGGGCGGUCCAGCUAAUAUCCCAUCGCGGUGCUCUUGAUUGAGUGUCGAGGUGGGCCGGUACGUUUACUUUGAACAAAUUAGAGUGCUCAAAGCAGGCUAUGUUUGCCUGAAUACUUAGUGCAUGGAAUAAUGGAAUAGGACCUCGGUUCUAUUUUGUUGGUUUUCGGAACCCCGAGGUAAUGAUUAAUAGGGACAGAUGGGGGCAUUCGUAUUGCGACGUUAGAGGUGAAAUUCUUGGAUCGUCGCAAGACGAACAGAAGCGAAAGCAUUUGCCAAAAAUGUUUUCAUUAAUCAAGAACGAAAGUUAGAGGUUCGAAGGCGAUCAGAUACCGCCCUAGUUCUAACCAUAAACGAUGCCAGCUAGCGAUCCGCCGAAGUUCCUCCGAUGACUCGGCGGGCAGCUUCCGGGAAACCAAAGCUUUUGGGUUCCGGGGGAAGUAUGGUUGCAAAGCUGAAACUUAAAGGAAUUGACGGAAGGGCACCACCAGGAGUGGAGCCUGCGGCUUAAUUUGACUCAC